UCUAUGCCUUUCGGCAUCGAUCAACUCUCUGCUGCACUUUAGUUUCUGUUCACUAUUGCACCGACGGGCGGGGCGACGAGUCGACGACAUCUCUGGUGAAAAUCUACAUUUUUUCUCCAUGUAAAGCUCUGGUCUGGACUCUGGAGGCUAGCCGCUGGUCCUCUUCUUCUUGGUCGAAAAGAUGUAAUAGCUCAUUAGAACCCGGAAGGCGAUGAGUUUUACACCUUGAUCGACGACUACACCUACUACUGCCGCCACUGCUUCGGCAGAGAUGGACCAUAGGUCAAUGAAUCCAUUUGACCCAGUUGGUCCUCCAGUCCUACUGGCACCGGCAUAUUCGACUUCUUCGGUGGUGCUACCUGUUAGCGCCCGACGUGCUCACUGGUGCCCCCGCACUCCAUACUAGAUGUCGCCAACGGGAUCCACAACCAAUGCCUCCGCCAAGAAAAACACCUGGGGACCUUGUCGGCAAUUGAAGACGGCGAAGGUCACCCGGGUGACCAAUGAUCGUAUCACAAUCGGAUAUGAUGAGCGACAUCAGACAACACCAACGACGGAGUAGCAUAGAGCAUUGGGCCAUGACAUUGGGCACGUCGUGCGGACCUUUUGCCCUAUGCAGUGGAAGUCUUGGAAGGCGAUGCUAGAGAAGGUGAAGAACACGGUGUGCAAUAAUUUGUUAACAAACUACAAUUUGGAUGACAUCAACGAGGACAUGUUGACGUACCUCAAUCGGCUAUACUCCGAACGCUACAAGUUGUGGAAGAGUGACUUGCACCAGUAUUUCGAGAUGUUUAGUGAUCCGCAGGUCGCUCUCGAGGAGGGUUGCCCGAACGAGCUUGAAGACCGACAAGAUAAUUGGGAUUGACUUUGCGGUCAUUUUCAGGAGCCGGGCUAUGUGAAGAAGGCGAAGGCGAACAAGGGCAA